rnacentral:ncRNA from 1 species
GAAUCCGGUUAAUAUUCCGGAACCGAGACAUGGAGAAUCGCCCGUCGUUAGCGGCGAGACGAAGUGCGGUGACGCAAGCGCACUCAAAGAAUGGCCGGCGAUAGUUCCGGGAAGAGUUUUCUUUUCUUUUCAAGGGACGGACACCCUAGAAAUGGUUAAUUCGGAGAUAGGGUCGUUGUUCCCGCAAAGCGUCACGUCUGCCGGGGCGUACGGAGCGCUGUCGUCGGUUCAUAAAAAUUUGAGGAAGGCAAAAAUUCUCAUGCUCGGUCGUACUCAUAUCCGCAGCAGGUCUCCAAGGUGAAUUGCCUCUAGUCGAUUGAAUAAUGUAGGUAAGGGAAGUCGGCAAAUCAGAUCCGUAACUUCGGAAAAAGGAUUGGCUCUAAGAAUUUGGACGGGCGGGCUGAUGCGCGAAGCGCAUGUGGACGUGUUGCUGGUUUGAUCGAUGGUUCCGGCGCAAGUUGGUAUCGGAGUUCGAUCCGGACGCGCGACCGAUGCGUGGACCGUGUCAGCUGACGGUUCGAUAUGAAAGUGUUGUGCAUUU